AAAAAAAAAUGAAAAAAAAA
rnacentral:sRNA from 1 species